UUGGAGGAAAGGUUUUGCUCAAGGUUAAGCCAGGCUGUCUGAGAGCAAUAGUGCCGUUGCAGUGUCCACUGGCAACAUUAUCUGAGCAGUGGGAUUUCCUACAGCUUAGGUUUCAAAUGGUUUACUUUGAUUUCUUAAAGCUAUAAAUAAGUUUGCUCAUCUUUAAAUGGCAAUGUUAGUGGCUACACCAUAGAAAACCCCUGCAUCAAAAGCAAGAGACACGAAUGGAAGGAAAGACACAGGGAAAUAAAGCCAAGAGGACUCAGGGUCUCCGUUGACUUACCCGCGGGCCGGGACAAGUGGCGCCCAACGUGGGGCCUGAGAAUGGGGGAUCCAGUGAAGAAUGCUGCUCGGGAGCCCAAUAAAAUAGAAGAGACAAAUAAAAUAGAAAAAAGAGGAUUGCGUUUGACAUGAACCUGCCGUCUUUCCUGCACCUCGGUGAGUUGAGCAGCGAUUAUGGGACAGGAGAUUACCCAACAUGAGUUGUUUGUAGAAGGUCUUAAAAAAACUUUACAGGCACGAGGGGUAAAGGUUACAGUCAAACAGUUGUUAAAAUAUUUUGAUUAUAUUAGAGAUCUCUGCCCUUGGUUUCCCCCCGAGGGUACCAUCGACGAGAGGAGAUGGAAAAAGUAGGGGAGGCCCUUAAAGAUUAUUAUGCUACUUGUGGACCAGAAAAGGUCCCGAUUACUGCAUUUUCUUAUUGGAAUCUUAUUGAUGAAAUUAUCUCCCAAAAAACCAAAGAUCCGGUGGUGGCU